rnacentral:rRNA from 1 species
GUUGGUAGGGUAAAGGCCUACCAAGGCGAAGACGGGUAGGGGGUGUGAGAGCACGACCCCCCACAAUGGGACUGAGAGACGGCCCAUACUCCUACGGGAGGCAGCAGCAGGGAAUAUUGCACAAUGGACGGAAGUCUGAUGCAGCGACGCCGCGUGGAUGAAGGAGGCCUUCGGGUUGUAAAAUCCUUUUCGGGGGGAAGAGGAAGGACGGUACCCCCGGAAUAAGCGUCGGCUAACUACGUGCCAGCAGCCGCGGUAAUACGUAGGACGCGAGCGUUAUCCGGAUUUACUGGGCGUAAAGCGUCUGUAGGCGGACUUGUAAGUUGGACGUGAAAGCUCCGGGCUUAACCCGGAGAGGUCGUUCAAUACUGCGAGACUAGAGGGCGUGAGAGGGGAGCGGAAUUCCCGGUGUAGCGGUAAAAUGCGCAGAUAUCGGGAGGAACACCAGUGGCGCAGGCGGCUCCCUGGUACGCACCUGACGCUGAGAGACGAAAGCUAGGGGAGCGAACAGGAUUAGAGACCCUGGUAGUCCUAGCCCUAAACGCUGGAUGCUAGGUGUGGGGCCGAACAGGCUCUGUGCCGCAGCUAACGCGCUAA